AUAUAGGAAGUAUUCUUCCCCUAUUCCCCGCAGACACCAAGGCACAGCAGCUUUCCAAACUCUGAGACUUGAACACCUCCCUGUGAGCCCCAUUCCCUGUGCUGGAGGAUUUGAGAUGUGUCGCUUCUCUGGACGCAGGGAUGUUUUCUCGAGGCUUCUUCAACCCCCAGCCUUUCCUUGGGCCUGAGCUAAUUCUGUGUAGAUCUCUCCAGCUCCUGCUCCCUGAAGACAGAGAAGGGUCUUUCACUGCUUUAUCAACCAGUCUGAGUAGAGGCAUCUGAGGUCAGUAGAGGUCACCCAGACUCAGGGGCCAAACAACUGGGGCCUAAUGGAGGUUGGAAUUCCGCUGUCCCGGGCCCAUUACAAGGCCUCCGUGAGAGCAACGAUGACUGGGGAUAUAGUGCUGCUGGUGAUGUGGUGCUCAGACAACCUGGCUUCCUGUUUGUCCCCUGCCCUACCUGGCCCAAAAUUCUGUGGAGAAGACCCACAUACCUCUGGCAGCAGAAGUCAAAUUCUGUCAGUCAGUAAGGUGGAUCCCUGCCCUUCACCGGGGACCUCCAGCCAGAUGGUGCCUUUGGGGUGGCCCUGGCCACCAUGGUGCAGGUAAGUAGUGUUGGUCCAGAGUCUGACAUGCAUUGCAUGCCACCCAAACACACCUGUGACUCCCAAGUUCAUUAUCCUUCCUUUUAUUUCAGCUCACACUCGUCUACACUCAAUGUGUCCUCAUGUUUGGCCAUACAGUCACGGCCACAGCCCAUGUCAGAGAUGUGUAUCAGCAGCAGCUCUGUGUCUGACCCCUUUUUAUCCAUCUUGUUUCCUAGAGGAUAUAUAUACCUGUGUUGAGUGUGAACAGCCAUAGGGUCCAUGCUCUUUAGUAACUGUGGUCUUCUCACACCAGUGUCCUCAGUGUUUACCUGUCUAUGCCACAGGUCUACCAGGAGUCCCUUCCUUUGUGUUUCUCAGUUAACC
rnacentral:lncRNA from 1 species